rnacentral:lncRNA from 1 species
CUUGUAAAUGAACAACUCAAAUGGGACUUUCAAAUUUGGCAUAUUGACUUUUGAAGCAAAACAAGCUUAUUAUUUGAAUUUCCCAAAGUAUAGUUAAAAGCUCUAGAGUCACAAUUCCAGCUUUGCUUCUGCCCAGCUCAGUGACCUCAGUAUUUGAUGGGUCUGAAUGAAAAUCUGAUGAAACAGAUGUUACUUGAAGCUGAGUGACUUUCUCAGGGUCAAGCAAAUAAGUAAAUGGAGGAGCCAGAAUUAUACCCCAGGAUCCCCAUCACAAGGAGGGGAGGGCUACCAUCCCAGCUGCAAACUCUCAUUCAAGGUUUAUGCUGCAGCCAGCAGUGUCCUUGGAGUCUAGUUCAAAGCUGAAGAGAGUGAACCAUGGAACUGGGAGCCAUUGGCGGAGAGGCUGGCCUGAAGGAAGGGAAGUGUUUCAGCCAGAAUGUACUGACGCACAACCAGGAAACCACAAGACUGGUGAGAACCUUUCCAAAACUGAGCUUUAUGAUCAAAAGAGGUACAGGAAACAGCUCUGCCAAGAGUCCUUUCUGCUCCUGGCUGGAACCCUGAGCUUCUGAGGCUCUCUGAGUCAACUCUCUGAACAGAUGCUGUCACCCAAGGAACCAUCACUAAAGCAUUUUUUUGCUUUGCUCUGAGGUGGCCUCACUGGUGGGUGCAAGUGAGUUACUGUCUCUUUUUCUCUUUCUUGUUUCUUUCUUUUGACAGAAGUUGCCAUGUGAUUACUCAAUUCUGAAUUUUAGAGGCCAUAGGUUACUGCAUUUAUGCCCUUUGCCAACUGACUAUUGUUUGGUGCUGGGCCUGCAUACAAACACGACAUCCCCAAACUCUUAUCAAUACCUAGAUCACCUGAUGUGAAUCUAUCAAUACCCUGGACUUAACAGGGUAUUGAAGGAAAGAGAACCGGCAAUUCCUUCAUUUCUUACAUCCCAGCCAGUAGUCCUUCUCCCAGGCUAGUCUUCCUUUUGUUUCCCCUAAGAAUGACUCAACUAGGAAUUGCAUUCUGAUCCCUGUCACAGAUAUAAAUCUUGUCUGGAUACAAGGUCAAAAUAAUUGUGUUCCUGUGGAUUCUUUUUCUUUUUUCAACCAGAGUAACUACCAGUUGCCAUGAAAUAAAUCACAUCAUCAUAUGGCAGAUCCAGCUAAUAGCUGAGACUGGCAGGAUAACUGAACCGUGUACUCAGAGCUAAAUGAUGGAGAAAUUGGACUGGCCAUGGAGCACUUCAAAUUGAUUGCUUAGUAAUGGGAUAUUUUUCCUGGAAAGACAACAGAAUACUUCUGAAUUGUUGGUUCUGUCAUGGGUACAGGCUCCCAUGUACAGGAAAAUAAAGAAAGUGUGAUGAAUUUUUCAUCUGGCCUUCUGCCUACUUUCUUGCUUUCUGCAUGUCUCCAUUUUUAGUCUGUAAGCCCUGCCUAGAUGACCAAUCACUAUUGCCCAUGUGGCAUAAAACCUACAAUUUAACUAUACUUCUUACCAAACUCUCAGCAAGUAUGAGGUAGCCAACAGCCUUUUCAAGAUAAUGACUGAGUCUUAGCUUAGGUUUCAGUCAUUUUAGGAAACAUAAAAAAUUCAAUGGUGGGAGAUCAUACACACUCUGCAAAGAUGUCAGAAGUCAAGUUUUGGGAGAGUCCACACACAAACUGAGCAGUGAUGGUAAAAUAUAUUUUUGAAAUAUUUCUCCUCUGUGACUGUUAUGUGAAGUAGAGCAAACACAUUGUGCUGCAGUGCUCUUUGGGACAUGCCUUUUUUGGGAAGUGCUAACUUUAUACUCUGCUGACACCAAACAUUUGAAUAUAAAACCUUAUUUUUUUCUCUCACUCUGCUCCACUUUUGGCUCAGCUUAUUCUACCAAAACACACUUCAAAAGACUUCUUUAUAGAAAGAAUGUUUCAAAAAUAUAAUAUUUCCAUCUGUUAUUUCAAUAAUACAUGCUCUGGGACUCUCUUUAUGAACCACUUUCCUUUCUUUGCUCCCAUUUAGAUGUAUAAAUAUUUGAUUGUAAAGCUCUAAGGAAUAGUCAGCCAAUCGGGUCACUGAAUUGUGAACAUUCCUAACCCUAUAAUUUUGUCUGUAGCAGGCACCUCCUGCUGUGGAACUAACUGCUAAGGGAUUAUAGCAAUGUAAUCCUCAGACUGUUCCAUCUCAAGGUUACUCUGAAGUGGAGGGAAGGAAGCCGUUUUAAUUUUGAUAAAAUAAACUUUAUUUUGUAACUUUAUUAUUUGUUUUUCUUUUUCCUUUCAACACUUCAUAAUAGAUGUGUCUGGUAAUUUGAAGUUAGCCUCUCUGGUUGAGGUGCCCUAAACCACCUCGUAUUAUUGUA